UAAACUCUCGGGACUGGAGGCUUGGCAGCCGUCUGGGAAAGCGGAGCUGGUCGGUGCAGAGGAGCGCAGCGCCGCCUAGGGGUGCAGAGACGAGGACAACGUCCUAAGAAGGCCUCCGUCUUAACUUCCACAACCUCUGACUGAAGACUGCUCGUAAUUGAGGCUGAGCUCGUUUGGGCUUCUCUCUCCACUGUUUCACAGGGGAGCGUCCAGUUCCGGGCGCUCGGACCCACGGAACCCCUCCAGUGCCGGCGAAGAGAUCGGAACUCCCAGAGAAAUCGCGGGGCGGAGGCGGCGAGAGGUGGAAUCGCGACCCUGAAUGACCACGCCUUCGAAGCUUAAGGAAACCGGAAGCCCCAAGCUAAGGGCUGAAGCAUUACAUUCUAGAUUCCUAGCUUCUCCACUUAGGGUUAAAGUCUCUGUGCACCUUCUUAUAUAUGGGAAGCCAAGAUUUCAACAGAGGCGACCAGUGAGGAACAAAUUGGGUAAUAGGGUCUUCCCCAAGCUUCCCUCCCACCCCCCAUCCCCGGCUCUAGCUUUUCGGGACACCCAGGUGGGCGAGCUCAAGGCUUAUGGUUCGUUCCGCUUUUUUGUGGGUCAGCAAUUUCCCUUUCCUCAGGAGCCCCUACUUGCUUUACAAGCGGCCCUUGACGCUCUGGAUGAGACAGGUUAGAAACCAGUCAGUACAAGCCCCUGAAACAGAAAAACUGACACUCCUCCCCAAUGCGUCGUGUGAAGUGGAAGUGGAAGAAAGUUACUGAGAUACUCUCCAGAGUGUAACCAGAAAACUACUGUGUAAAUUUAUUCUCUGUAAAUAUUUAGAAAACAGCAUUGAGGCAGGGUAGGAACUAACUGCCCAUAUGUUGUCCAACUUCGUUUUUAAGCCGGUAUUCUGAAGGGAAAUUGGGACAUCGGUCUGUCCUUGUAAAAACACCUCCGAGCUACAAGAAGUUAUCUCUAAAUUUGGCCUUGUGCCCAACAACCCGCAGCUUUCCCUGAGGGGGAGGCGAACUGAAAAAGAGUGACUUCAAUGACUAUUAAACACUAAAUUCCUUAAA